CGGGAGAAAGCAGGGGAUCUUCGGACCUUGCGCUAAAUGAUGAGCCUAAGUCGGAUUAGCUAGUUGGUGGGGUAAAGGCCUACCAAGGCGACGAUCUGUAGCGGGUCUGAGAGGAUGAUCCGCCACACUGGGACUGAGACACGGCCCAGACUCCUACGGGAGGCAGCAGUGGGGAAUAUUGGACAAUGGGCGGAAGCCUGAUCCAGCCAUGCCGCGUGUGUGAAGAAGGCCUUAUGGUUGUAAAGCACUUUAAGCGAGGAGGAGGCUACUUAGAUUAAUACUCUAGGAUAGUGGACGUUACUCGCAGAAUAAGCACCGGCUAACUCUGUGCCAGCAGCCGCGGUAAUACAGAGGGUGCGAGCGUUAAUCGGAUUUACUGGGCGUAAAGCGUGCGUAGGCG
rnacentral:rRNA from 1 species